ACUAUUUUGGCAGAAAAGUGCCAUGAAUUUAGAAUUCAUAAAUAUAGGUUAACCCUAUAGAUAGUAC
rnacentral:tRNA from 1 species